GAUGAUCUGGAGGUAGAAGAGGAGACAGGCCCUGAGCAGGGGAGGAUGGGGGAGCUCCAGGCCCAACCAUCAAGGCGUCAGAUGGCCUAGCACACCAGGGUUCAGUUCUCCACACAAGCAGUGAUGGAGAGGCUGCAUGGAUCACCAGUGCCCAGAGAAGAAAUCUCGACUUUGAUCUCCCAGUCAACUGGGCUGCCCUUCCCAGCCCUGUGCACCUAAUCCUUCGGACGAAAGGACCUGAUGCUUAAGACUGAGGAGAACUGAGCAGGUGAUUCGGACGUGGGAGCCAGAGAAGCAAACUCUCCCUUACAGUGUCUGCUAGAAAAGGACCAAGGCCAUUUCCCUGAGCGUUCUCUCACCACCUCUGCAGUUCACACUUCAGUGUGCAGGGCCUUGCUCAGCCAGGCACCUAGGCUGUGACCACAGAGAGAGCUCGGCCAGGUAACACAGACACCACCUUUAGUUCUGUGUAACAGGCUUGGCUACCUGCCACUUUCCCAAGGUCAGAGGGGCCAGAUACCUCUGUGGUGAGAUUGGAGAGGAGGCAGAAAGACAGCUCUGUGCAGCCCUUUCUGUUCACAAGGCUCGGACGCCUCGCCUCAAUCUCCUGCUGAGGCCGGAAGCCUGACAGGUGUUAGCAAACAGGGAAACACCGCACAGGAGGAUGGGAAUUGUGGAGAUUGUGGCUGGGACUGAAACCAGCUGCCCUGGAGCCUCACUGUGACCUGGCUCUGGGCCUACGCUGCAGGCAGCCUCCAUUCCAGCCCCUCUUCCAGGCUCAUGACCUCUGUGCACGAAGUCCAGAGAGACGUGGAAACUGACUGAGGAAGAGCGUCGUCCUCCAGAGACAGCGCAACCUUGAUCCAAGUCUGGCCCCAGGGACCUCUGCUCAUAAGAAACUGCUCAUCUCCAGCCAUCUCCACGUCCUUCCAAGAAGCAAAACGAAACUCACAACACCCCGGGCACAACAUGCACAAUGGACAUGCACAGGAAGGAGGAUGCAGGCCAUGCACCAAAAUAAAAAAGCACAGCUUGUGUUCAGGUGGUGAUUCAA